rnacentral:rRNA from 1 species
UACGGGGGGAGCAAGCGUUGUUCGGAUUUACUGGGCGUAAAGGGCGCGUAGGCGGCCAACUAAGUCAGACGUGAAAUCCCUCGGCUUAACCGGGGAACUGCGUCUGAUACUGGAUGGCUUGAGUUUGGGAGAGGGAUGCGGAAUUCCAGGUGUAGCGGUGAAAUGCGUAGAUAUCUGGAGGAACACCGGUGGCGAAGGCGGCAUCCUGGACCAACACUGACGCUGAGUGAGCGAAAGCCAGGGGAGCAAACGGG